rnacentral:rRNA from 1 species
AAGUCGAACGGAGUAGCAAUACUCAGUGGCAGACGGGUGAGUAACAUGUGGGUAUCUUCCCUUUGGUGAGGAAUAACACGAGGAAACUUGUGCUAAUACCUCAUAAGUCUUUACGGAGAAAGCUUUAUGCGCCAUUGGAUGAGCCUGCACUUGAUUAGUUUGUCGGUGGGGUAAUGGCCUACCAAGACCUUGAUCAAUAGCUGAUUUGAGAGGAUGAUCAGCCACAUUGGGACUGAGACACGGCCCAAACUCCUACGGGAGGCAGCAGUAGGGAAUCUUGCACAAUGGGGGAAACCCUGAUGCAGCGAUGCCGCGUGAGUGAAGAAGGCCUUUGGGUUGUAAAGCUCUUUCGUCGGGGAAGAAAAUGACUGUACCCGAAUAAGAAGGUCCGGCUAACUUCGUGCCAGCAGCCGCGGUAAUACGAAGGGACCUAGCGUAGUUCGGAAUUACUGGGCUUAAAGAGUUCGUAGGUGGUUAAAAAAGUUGGUGGUGAAAUCCCAGAGCUUAACUCUGGAACUGCCAUCAAAACUUUUUAGCUAGAGUAUGAUAGAGGAAAGCAGAAUUUCUAGUGUAGAGGUGAAAUUCGUAGAUAUUAGAAAGAAUACCAAUUGCGAAGGCAGCUUUCUGGAUCAUUACUGACACUGAGGAACGAAAGCAUGGGUAGCGAAGAGGAUUAGAUACCCUCGUAGUCCAUGCCGUAAACGAUGUGUGUUCGACGUUGGAAAUUUAUUUUUCAGUGUCUCAGCGAAAGCAAUAAACACACCGCCUGGGGAGUACGACCGCAAGGUUAAAACUCAAAUGAAUUGACGGGGACCCGCACAAGUAGUGG